UACGGAGGGUGCGAGCGUUGUCCGGAAUCACUGGGCGUAAAGGGCGCGUAGGCGGCAUGCCAAGCGUGUGGUGAAAGCCCGGGGCUCAACCCCGGGUCGGCCGUGCGGACUGGCAUGCUCGAGCACUGUAGGGGCGGGUGGAAUUCCGGGUGUAGCGGUGGAAUGCGUAGAUAUCGGGAGGAACACCUGAGGCGAAGGCGGGCUACUGGGCCGAUACUGACGCUGAGGCGCGAAAGCCAGGGGAGCAAACGGG
rnacentral:rRNA from 1 species